AGGUCAAGUAGAAAAGGGCGCACGGUGAAUGCCUAGGCACUAACAGCCGAAGAAGGACGUGACGAACUACGAAAAGCUUCGGGGAGCGGUAAGUACGCAGUGAUCCGGAGAUAUCCGAAUGGGGGAACCCAAUGCAGAGAUGCAUUAUUGAUUAGUGAAUAGAUAGCUAAUCAAAGGAAGACGCAGUGAACUGAAACAUCUAAGUAGCUGCAGGAAGAGAAAGAAAGAUCGAUUUCCUUAGUAGCGGCGAGCGAAGAGGAAAGAGCCCAAACCAAGUGAUUUAUCAUUUGGGGUUGUAGGACUGCGACGUGGCAGUGUAAGAGAUAGUUGAAUUAUCUGGGAAGGUAAGCCAGAGAGGGUGAGAGCCCCGUAAGCGAAAUCUCAAGCACGCCUAGCAGAAUCCUGAGUAGGCCGGGACACGAGGAAUCCCGGUUGAAACCGCGAGGACCAUCUCGCAAGGCUAAAUACUAGUUAGUGACCGAUAGUGAACCAGUACCGUGAGGGAAAGGUGAAAAGAACCCCGGAAGGGGAGUGAAAAAGAACCUGAAACCGUGUGUCUACAAGUAGUCAAAGCACGUUAAAGUGCAAUGGCGUGCCUUUUGUAGAAUGAACCGGCGAGUUACGUUAUCUAG
rnacentral:rRNA from 1 species